rnacentral:lncRNA from 12 species
AUGAACGGGCCAAAACGGACAUGGCAGCAGGUCAAAAUCAAAUACAAGAACAUUCUGCAGAAUGCAGUGAAAAAGAAUACCCACAGACAAGGCACGGGUGGUGGGUCACCAAAGGCUGACCUUACCCCAGCAGAGGACAUGGCCUUGGAGCUAAAUAAAGGCAGGCCCGUCUUAGAGGGGAUCCCUGGGGGGAAAGAGACGAGCAUAGGUUCCUCCCAAGAUGCCACCCGCUUCAUUCAAGUGUCUGGCAGCACUGUGUUCCUGUUAGAGCCACCAGCACAAGCACCAGACGAUGCUGAUCCAGGUGAAAGCCCCAGUGCAGCAGCAACAGCACAUGAUGGAGACGAUGAUGAGGAGGAGACCAUCUCUGUGGAUUCCAGAAGGCAUGAGGACCCAGAUGCUAUACAGUGGGAAAACCAGCCUGGCAACAUAAGCUCACAAGCUAUCAGAAAGUUGUAUGGCAACCACCUCCGGCGCCAAAUAGAACUGGCAGACAUAGACAUUCAGUACAAGAAGAAAAAGAUAGAAAAUCUUGCACUGGAGUCCGAAAUAAAAAAGAGGACAAUUAGGAAACUGGACCUUGAAAUAAAAAAACUUGAGAGGGAGGUGAGAUAUGCCUUCAAUGUACACUGUAUGCUAACUGUAACACAAAUGUAUUAA